rnacentral:rRNA from 1 species
GACAGAGGUUGCAAACGUUGUUCGGAAUCACUGGGCAUAAAGCGCACGUAGGCGGUCUGUUAAGUCAAGUGUGAAAGCCCCCGGCUCAACCGGGGAACAGCAUUUGAUACUGGCAGACUCGAGAAUGGUAGGGGUGAGUGGAACUCCAGGUGGAGCGGUGAAAUGCGUAGAUAUCUGGAGGAACACCGGUGGCGAAAGCGGCUCACUGGACCAUAACUGACGCUGAGGUGCGAAAGCUAGGGUAGCAAACGGG